AUUGAACGCUGGCGGCAUGCCUUACACAUGCAAGUCGAACGGCAGCACGGGGCAACCUGGUGGCGAGUGGCGAACGGGUGAGUAAUGCAUCGGAACGUACCUUUCAGUGGGGGAUAACGCAGCGAAAGCUGCGCUAAUACCGCAUACGAUCUGAGGAUGAAAGCGGGGGACCGUAAGGCCUCGCGCGAUCGGAGCGGCCGAUGUCAGAUUAGGUAGUUGGUGGGGUAAAGGCUCACCAAGCCGACGAUCUGUAGCUGGUCUGAGAGGACGACCAGCCACACUGGGACUGAGACACGGCCCAGACUCCUACGGGAGGCAGCAGUGGGGAAUUUUGGACAAUGGGCGCAAGCCUGAUCCAGCAAUGCCGCGUGCAGGAAGAAGGCCUUCGGUUGUAAACUGCUUUUGUACGGAGCGAAAAGGCUUUCUCUAAUACAGGAGGCUGAUGACGGUACCGUAAGAAUAAGCACCGGCUAACUACGUGCCAGCAGCCGCAGUAACAC
rnacentral:rRNA from 1 species